ACUGCGUACCUUUUGUAUAAUGGGUCAGCGACUUAUAUUCUGUAGCAAGGUUAACCGUAUAGGGGAGCCGGAGGGAAACCGAGUCUUAAUUGGGCGUUAAGUUGCAGGGUAUAGACCCGAAACCCGGUGAUCUAGCCAUGGGCAGGUUGAAGGUUGGGUAACACUAACUGGAGGACCGAACCGACUAAUGUUGAAAAAUUAGCGGAUGACCUGUGGCUGGGGGUGAAAGGCCAAUCAAACCGGGAGAUAGCUGGUUCUCCCCGAAAGCUAUUUAGGUAGCGCCUCGUGAAUUCAUCUCCGGGGGUAGAGCACUGUUUCGGCUAGGGGGCCAUCCCGGCUUACCAACCCGAUGCAAACUGCGAAUACCGGAGAAUGUUAUCACGGGAGACACACGGCGGGUGCUAACGUCCGUCGUGAAGAGGGAAACAACCCAGACCGCCAGCUAAGGUCCCAAAGUCAUGGUUAAGUGGGAAACGAUGUGGGAAGGCCCAGACAGCCAGGAUGUUGGCUUAGAAGCAGCCAUCAUUUAAAGAAAGCGUAAUAGCUCACUGGUCGAGUCGGCCUGCGCGGAAGAUGUAACGGGGCUAAACCAUGCACCGAAGCUGCGGCAGCGAACGUAUCACCCAAGACAACUUUACGGAGUUGACGAUUGACGGAGCGAAGCGACGUCAAAGCGUUCAUUAAAGUCGAGUUGGCUUAGGGAUACGUUCGUUGGGUAGGGGAGCGUUCUGUAAGCCUGUGAAGGUGUGUCGUGAGGCAUGCUGGAGGUAUCAGAAGUGCGAAUGCUGACAUAAGUAACGAUAAAGCGGGUGAAAAGCCCGCUCGCCGGAAGACCAAGGGUUCCUGUCCAACGUUAAUCGGGGCAGGGUGAGUCGACCCCUAAGGCGAGGCCGAAAGGCGUAGUCGAUGGGAAACGGGUUAAUAUUCCCGUACUUGGUGUUACUGCGAAGGGGGGACGGAGAAGGCUAUGUUGGCCGGGCGACGGUUGUCCCGGUUUAAGCGUGUAGGUGUGUGUUCCAGGUAAAUCCGGUUCACUUUAACACUGAGGCGUGACGACGAGGCACUACGGUGCUGAAGCAACAAAUGCCCUGCUUCCAGGAAAAGCCUCUAAGCAUCAGGUAACAC
rnacentral:rRNA from 1 species